GUGGGGAAUAUUGGACAAUGGGGGGAACCCUGAUCCAGCCAUGCCGCGUGUGUGAAGAAGGCCUUUUGGUUGUAAAGCACUUUAAGCGAGGAGGAGGCUACCGAGAUUAAUACUCUUGGAUAGUGGACGUUACUCGCAGAAUAAGCACCGGCUAACUCUGUGCCAGCAGCCGCGGUAAUACAGAGGGUGCAAGCGUUAAUCGGAUUUACUGGGCGUAAAGCGCGCGUAGGUGGCCAAUUAAGUCAAAUGUGAAAUCCCCGAGCUUAACUUGGGAAUUGCAUUCGAUACUGGUUGGCUAGAGUAUGGGAGAUGAUGGUAGAAUUCCAGGUGUAGCGGUGAAAUGCGUAGAGAUCUGGAGGAAUACCGAUGGCGAAGGCAGCCAUCUGGCCUAAUACUGACACUGAGGUGCGAAAGCAUGGGGAGCAAACAGGAUUAGAUACCCCGGUAGUCC
rnacentral:rRNA from 1 species